UUAAAUUGAAGAGUUUGAUCAUGGCUCAGAUUGAACGCUGGCGGCAGGCCUAACACAUGCAAGUCGAACGGUAACAGRAAGMAGCUUGCUKCUUUGCUGACGAGUGGCGGACGGGUGAGUAAUGUCUGGGAAACUGCCUGAUGGAGGGGGAUAACUACUGGAAACGGUAGCUAAUACCGCAUAACGUCGCAAGACCAAAGAGGGGGACCUUCGGGCCUCUUGCCAUCGGAUGUGCCCAGAUGGGAUUAGCUUGUUGGUGGGGUAACGGCUCACCAAGGCGACGAUCCCUAGCUGGUCUGAGAGGAUGACCAGCCACACUGGAACUG
rnacentral:rRNA from 1 species